rnacentral:rRNA from 1 species
GGACGAACGCUGGCGGCGUGCUUCAUACAUGCAAGUCGAACGAUAAGGUCUCUUCGGAGACACAUAAGUGGCGGACGGGUGAGUAAUGUGUAGAGAAUCUGCCCUAGAGUGGGGACGAACAGUUGGAAACGACUGCUAAUACCGCAUAUGCGCGUAGCUGAGAUGCUAUUCGUGAAAACUCCGGUGCUCUGGGAUGAGUCUGCAUCUGAUUAGCUAGUUGGGGGUGUAAUGGACCACCAAGGCGACGAUCAGUAGCUGGUUUGAGAGGAUGAUCAGCCACAAUGGGACUGAGACACGGCCCAUACUCCUACGGGAGGCAGCAGUAGGGAAUUUUGCGCAAUGGGGGAAACCCUGACGCCAGCAACGCCGCGUGAUUGAAUAAGCCCUUCGGGGUGUAAAGAUCUGUCAGUGGGGACGAAACUUGACGGUACCCACAGAGGAAGCAUCGGCUAACUCCGUGCCAGCCGCAGC